rnacentral:tRNA from 1 species
GGGGAAGUAGCUCAGUCUGGUAGAGCACACGGCUGAAGACCGUGCGGUUAUCCCAAUAAUCCGGUUAGUGUCGCGGGCUCAAAUCCCGCCUUCCCCA